AAAGCUCGUAGUUGAAUUUCUGGUNUCGGACAUCGGUNUGCCUCNAACGAGGUACGUACCAGUUGUUUGAAUCCAUCCUCGGGGAAAACGUAUCUGUCAUUUAAUUGAUGGACGCGGGGUCCCCGUCAUUUACUGUGAGCAAAAUAGAGUGUUCAAAGCAGGCUUAUGCCGUUGAAUACAUUAGCAUGGA
rnacentral:rRNA from 1 species